rnacentral:rRNA from 1 species
UACGAAGGGGGCUAGCGUUGCUCGGAAUCACUGGGCGUAAAGCGCACGUAGGCGGCUUUCUAAGUCAGGGGUGAAAUCCUGGAGCUCAACUCCAGAACUGCCUUUGAUACUGGAGAGCUUGAGUCCGGGAGAGGUGAGUGGAACUCCGAGUGUAGAGGUGAAAUUCGUAGAUAUUCGGAAGAACACCAGUGGCGAAGGCGACUCGCUGGACAGACAUUGACGCUGAGGUGCGAAAGCGUGGGGAGCAAACAGG